rnacentral:lncRNA from 1 species
AUUCAGUGUUUGGGUGAAGACGGAGGCGGGUUCUGGACAGACCUACGCUGUCGGGGAGUGUUUACUUCGCCUCCACUUCUGUUCCUCCCCGCCCUGGUGCUGCUCCAGGUCACAUACUCUUCCUGAGCCGGCUUCAGCCUCUCCGCGCAGAAGUCUCCCGGAGCCAUGGCCUAGUAUUCUUAUGUGAAGUCUACCAAGCUUGUGCUCAAGGGAACCGAGAUUUGCCUGAGGUUGACUGUACAUGCAAAUAUUGAGCUUUCCUCCUGGCCUCCGUGAUAAACAGAAGUUUUGAUAUUGUUAGGCGAGAUGGAAAGAAAGUAUCAAGGAGUGAGCUGAAGCCACUGCCCUUGAGAACCCUCUCGAGGAGUCUGGCCUCAUGAAGAUGCCAGAAUAAAUGGCAGUAAGAAGAAAAAGAGCAAAGAUAAGAAGAGAAAAAGAGAAGAUGAAGAAACCCAGCUUGAUAUGUUGCACAGUAGAUGCUACUGAUGCCUUUACUUCAUUAUCAGAACAGAGCACAGGAGAGAAGAAUUACAACACUCUGACUUAGUAGGCACCAUUAGACUGCUUAAUAGCCGGAGAUUCUGAUACAUAAUUUUAAAGGCUUAAUGUAAAUGUUAUUCAACCAAAUAUAUUUUACAAGCUAUUUUCUUUGAACAUCUGUACAUUUUAGUUGUAGAAGUCAGUUGUCUCUUAAACGAAGUAUCUUCACAGGAAAAAUCAUUAUUUUGUGAACUCUGAAAUGAAUGAAAAUUUUAAAUACAAUAUCAGGGUGGCCUGUAAAUGAUACUAGAAAUAAACUGACCCAAACACACUUAA